rnacentral:rRNA from 1 species
UGAAGGCUGAAAUUCGCCUUCAUGAAGCCGGAAUUGCUAGUAAUGGCAGGUCAGCAUACUGCCGUGAAUACGUUCCCGGGCCUUGUACACACCGCCCGUCACACCAUGAGAGUUGGGAAUACCCGAAGCCCGUGAGCCAACUUUAAAAGAGGCAGCGGUCGAAGGUAGAAUCAAUGAUUGGGGUGAAGUCGUAACAAGGUAAC